UUCCCCUCUUUAUUCCCCCUGUCCCUCUCCCUUCUGCCCUCCCCCCUUCUUGAGCUCUGGAUCAGAACAUUUUAUUACUAGGUGGGAGUUAAUCAUGUUUCAAAUUAAGCACUACAUGUUGAGAACAGUGGGUUGUGAUUCCUUUCUGUACAAUUUAUUACUGACUGUGCAUAACGUGUUGACCCAAAAACAUCUACAAGUCACUACAAGGAGUGGAUUGGUCCACAUCCCCGUUUUUACUCCAGUGGUUUGUCCGACCUAACAGCCACUUUGCAACUGGCUUCUGAAUUGAAUUCUACUCUGAGCACUUUUAUGGCCCAAGUAUGAAAUCCUGCAAGAUUUUGUGGGAUUUGUAUUUUUAAAAAUAGGGCUGGCCUUAUUGUUUGGUCUGGGAGAGCCUGUGGUGGACAAGGAAGUGUAAGCCUGGCUGCUGCAGCUACUUCUCAGCAGUUUGACCUAAAGCUGACUGUUGUGGACUGCAGCGAAACUGUCGAGAAGUGGCUUCAUUAUGUGUCAGAACCGGAGGAAGGCAUCGCAAGGAACCAAAGUGACGCCAACCAGAGUCAAACUUGGGUUACCCCAACUUGUACCGUUUUCCUGGUUCAUACAGUACAAAGCUUAACCUCAUGGAUGCUGUUCUUCCAUGGAUUAUAGACUGUGGGUCUGACAGUGAAAAAGGAGUCAUAUGUUUAAAGAUCUAUCCCUCUUUUUCUUAAAUAAAAUGUUAUAUUAA